AAGAUCAUACUUCACAGGAUCAUUUCUGUAGUAUAUCUUCACAUUAUCUUUACUCAACUGUAGAGUCCAAUGUAACCACGAUGAUGAGUUAAAGUGUUGAAAUCCUGAGCGUGAGGUAAAUCCUAGAUCAUUCAAUGAAUGUUCCAGGGUUAACGAUGAUCGUUCAACCUACUGUGUAUCAGUAGGGAAUGGAUUUCUCACAUGCUGAGUGGU